UGUUUCUUUGUAGCUAGCUACGAAGAAGGAGGAGGAGAGAUAGAGUGGAGUGGAGACGAUUCGUAAUCGUACGGAGUUAGUAGUGCCCUUAGAGAGGCUACGUCAUCAUGGCGUCUCUCUGGCGAUAGAUUGAGGGGAGGGGAUCAUCAUCUCAUCGGAGAUUUGGGUGGGGUUGAUUCGUUUUUUUUUUCCCGGCAACGGUGUUGAGUAUCACUCUAGGAUUUGGGGGUGGAUUUUUUUCUCAGCGAGGCUAUCAAUUUUACAGGUUGGUGUGCCGGUUUAUGCAGCAGGGACUGAUGUUAAAACCUGCAGACCUAGGUAAAGCAAUGCCUAAGCUAAAAAAAAAAAGGAGUUGUGUAGAUGCUGUUAUCAUGGAUACUGCAGGAGGGCUUCAGGAACAGAAGCGGCUAAGGAGAGUUCGGACAUCAUCAUCUUGGAUGACAACUUUGCUUCAGUUGUCAAGGUUUGCUCAAAUUGCCGACACCAUUUGGAGAAAGUUGCUGAUUCAGUGAGUGUAUUGUUAACAGUCAAUUUCCGAGAGACAAGCAUACACGUCCUGGAACAUGAAGUACCUGCACACGCCACCAGAGUGAAGAACUCAAUUAUCUUCAACGCCUUUGUUCUCUGCCAAGCUUUCAACGAGUUCAAAUGCUCGUAAACCAGACGAGAAGAGCAUCUUCAAAGGUGUGAUCAAGAAUCGUCUCUUCAUGGGUAAAAUAGCCAUAACUCUUGUCCUCCAGUUGGCCUCUUGAUUUGGUUGGGAAUUCAUUCCGGUGCCGGCAGCUCCUAUAAGCAAACAGACUCUCAGUACUAAAAUGCUGGGGCAAGAAGAAAAAGUCUUCUAAA